rnacentral:rRNA from 1 species
UACGUAGGGUACAAGCGUUGUCCGGAAUUAUUGGGCGUAAAGAGCUUGUAGGCGGUUUGUCGCGUCUGCUGUGAAAUUUCGGGGCUCAACCCCGAACUUGCAGUGGGUACGGGCAGACUAGAGUGUGGUAGGGGAGACUGGAAUUCCUGGUGUAGCGGUGAAAUGCGCAGAUAUCAGGAGGAACACCGAUGGCGAAGGCAGGUCUCUGGGCCAUAACUGACGCUGAGAAGCGAAAGCAUGGGGAGCGAACAGG